AAAACAUGGGUGGUGUUCUCGAAGCUAUCUUAGGAUUAGGACGUGUCCUAAGUCUAUCUUAAGACAAGUCUUUGUCCUAAGUCGUGUUCUCGAAGCUCUCUUAAUUAAUGAUAUAUCUCAUUUUUCGUCCUAACUUUAGGACACCCAAUAAGGUGUCUUAAGAGCAUCAUAUCUUCAUCCUAGUGUAAUAAAGUUUGGAUUUCGCUUUUUGCUCAUUAUUUAACGUGAAAAUGAACAUGAAAUGAAACGCACCAUCGGUUAUUAACUCGCAUAUAAAGAAAUUGUGCAUGAUUUUAAACUUUGAACUUCGUGUUUCACGAUACGAUUACUCUACAAAUUUAAUUCUCAUUUCAAAACAAAUUGUUUUCCAGUUUAAAUAACAAUCCUUUUU
rnacentral:lncRNA from 1 species